rnacentral:lncRNA from 1 species
GUUUCAGAAAAUAAUUUAGUCAUCAAAAUGAAGAUAUAUUGGAUAAGACAGUACUAAACAACAUCAGUUUUAAAACUACAUUGAAAAUUAAUUUAUUUUUUCUAUUUUUUUGCUACUUGAAGAUGAGUUUAAUUUUCAUAUCUCUUCUAGAAAAUGGCAGCUCUGCUGACAGCACCAGAGUGCUGUAUCUGGAUGGGACCCAAGUACACUGACAUUUGAUGAACAUUACAGAGCUGAAAGAAACUGUAUUAAUUAUUAUGGAAAGUCAAAACUGUCUUCAGAAUAUGUCAAGCAAAAUCACAUAAUUCUGUACUGUGUAGAACAUGGGGUUAAAUUAUACCCCAAAUAUUAAGCACCAAUCAUUGUUUUAUGUCCAUUUUAAUUAAGGAAAUUACUGCAGACCAGCAGUAAUGCAUUUUACGAGAAUUUGAAUAUUCUGAGGAAAAGAUGGCUCAGUUGUUUUCAUUUCAUGAUAGGGGGCCUACAGGAAAGCUGGGGAGGACCUUUUUAUAAGAGCAGGUAGUGACAGGAAGUGGCUUUAAACAGGAAGAGGGUAGAUUUAGACUAAGGAGAAAUUAUUUAUUGUGAGGGUUGUGAGACACUGGAACAGGUUGUCCAGUGAGGUUGCAGAUGCCCCCUCCCUGGAAGCACUCAAGGUCAGCCUGGAUGGGGCUGUGAGCAACCUGGUCUGGAGGGAAGUGUCCCUGCCUAUAGCAGGAGGGUGGGAACUACACGAUCUUAAAGCUUCCUUCCAACCCAAACCACUCUAUGAUUCUAUGAUUCUAGGAUUCAAAGCCCACUGCAACAAACGGAAACAUGUCGCAUAUUAGUAAGCCGAAGAUUAAUCAGCCUCAAAGCAGCCAAACUAACAAGACAUUGGUGACAAAUGAUAUACUUAACCCUCCAGAAAAGGAUCCUGACUUGUUCUUUAGGACAGUUUUCAUUUUUAUGUCUGAAGGAUCAGACAAAGACACAUUGCCUUUCAAGGAAAGUGAUGAUGCAACAGCAACGUCUGGAAAUGAAUCUCAUUCCUCUGGAGUGUUUUUGUCUUUUUGUUUGAUUGCUUUUGGGGAAGGAAGGAGACGUAUGUAGACUGUAAUAAAUAUCUAAUCUACAAUGGCA